GACAGAGGGUGCAAACGUUGCUCGGAAUUACUGGGCGUAAAGCGCGUGUAGGCGGGCAAGCAAGUCAGGUGUGAAAUCCCCGAGCUCAACUCGGGAACUGCACUUGAAACUGCUCGUCUCGAGUACCGGAGAGGAUCGUGGAAUUCCUGGUGUAGAGGUGAAAUUCGUAGAUAUCAGGAGGAACACCGGUGGCGAAGGCGGCGAUCUGGACGGUCACUGACGCUGAGACGCGAAAGCGUGGGGAGCAAACAGGAUUAGAAACCCCAGUAGUCC
rnacentral:rRNA from 1 species